UACGGGGGGGGCAAGCGUUGUUCGGAAUUACUGGGCGUAAAGGGCUCGUAGGCGGCCAACUAAGUCGGAUGUGAAAUCCCCAGGCUUAACCUGGGAACUGCAUCCGAUACUGGAUGGCUUGAAUCCGGGAGAGGGAUGCGGAAUUCCAGGUGUAGCGGUGAAAUGCGCAGAUAUCAGGAAGAACACCCGUGGCGAAGGCGGCUCUCUGGUACGUGACUGACGCUGAGACGCGAAAGCGUGGGGAGCAAACAGG
rnacentral:rRNA from 1 species